CGUGAAUUAUUUAUAUACAUACGCAGCAGUAAACCGAACCUAGGAAUUAUUUGUAUUUUCGUGUUAACGCCAUCAUUCGUGUCCUAUUUUGUUUUAUUUUUUUCCCUUCCCCUAACUUGAAAAAAGAAAAUAAUUUAACACUCGUGCCUGACAGUGGUUUUUGCUGAAAAGGACACUACUGCAAGUACAGCAAGCACACCCCAUUACACGGUUUUAGAAAACGAAAGAUCAAUAGGAGGCCAUUAGAAAGGAGUUGUAGUAGGUAAAGUCGACAAAAAAAAGUAUCGGGUGAAAACGUCACGGUCCUUGGG